GGAGCCGUGCAUUCCGCCGCCAGCGCCAUCACCUUCUCCACCGCCGCCACCACCGCGCUGGUCCGCCGCAUCCGGGGGUCCAUCACCACCACCGCGUCGCCCUCCCUGCACUUGCGCAGCGCCUGCGCCAACAACACGGACACAAGACAGAUAUUCACUUCCCAAUGCAAGAUUAUUUUCAGGACUAGCUAGUAACUACUCCAUGAUGGAUGGAUGAAUGAAGAAAAGAAGACCGAGGAGGAGCGAAGCAGUUUGCGCAUGACCCUGCAAUUGCUGCAGCUUUUCCCCAGAUUGAUCUUGAGCUUCUUACCUUCUUGUUGACCACACGGGAACGAGGUGUAUAGGUGGAAGUCCAAGAGAACCCAGGAUCCGACUGAAACUCGCUGUUGAAGCCAGAGAAACCUCCAUGGCUGGUGGGGGAUGCGGAUGCGCGGUUGCGAGCUGCCUGCAUAGCUGCUCGCGCAUAAUCAGGUACCAUGUUCUUCUGGCUCUAAGGUUUUGUAGACUUGGGGACUGAUUCAAGUUUGACUGGGUGCAUACAUCUUUAUUAUCAUAAAGAGGUAGAGUAGUUGAAAUGGGUUUUCAGGCCAAGCCAAUGAGCUUUGGAGUUAUGACUUGAGUAAAUGUGCGUAUGACAACUACAGUUGCAAUAAUUUUAUUGGUGGAGGAUAUCAGUGACUCGGAGUAGGUAUGUAAGUAUGUUCCACAAUUCCAUUCCGUAGGCAGAGAGGUUAUGGACCAUGGCAUCGGGCUUGCGCUAAAGCGUUCUCUUCUUGAUGUCAUUGGAACUGUUGAGAAUAUUUCCUUUUCUGACGAA